GGGCGGUUAGCUCAGCUGGCUAGAGCGCGUCGUUGACAUCGACGAGGUCACAGGUUCAAGUCCUGUACCGCCCACCA
rnacentral:tRNA from 3 species